UCCCUAUCUGCCGUGGGCGCUGGAGAAUUGAGGGGGGCUGCUCCUAGUACGAGAGGACCGGAGUGGACGCAUCACUGGUGUUCGGGUUGUCAUGCCAAUGGCACUGCCCGGUAGCUAAAUGCGGAAGAGAUAAGUGCUGAAAGCAUCUAAGCACGAAACUUGCCCCGAGAUGAGUUCUCCCUGACUCCUUGAGAGUCCUGAAGGAACGUUGAAGACGACGACGUUGAUAGGCCGGGUGUGUAAGCGCAGCGAUGCGUUGAGCUAACCGGUACUAAUGAACCGUGAGGCUUAACCUUACAACGCCGAAGGUGUUU
rnacentral:rRNA from 1 species